AGCUUCAUAUGGGGUGUGUGAAUAUUAGUUAGCUUAUUGCCUUGAAGCUUUGAAGAAGCUGUGACAAAUGUAUGGAUGGAUUUGAUCAUCAUUGCCAGUGGUUUAACAAUUGCGUCCGUCGGAAGAACUACACAACUUUUAUUCUGCUUAUUACCACAAGUCUCAUUUGGGUAUGUGGAAAAUCCACGUCAUUGCUCAAUUGAGAUGUUCUGAUUUCUUUUAGUAUUCUCUUCAGUAAUUUUAACUUUGAAGCUUACUAGAUUUUUGCUUCUAAACAUGAUCCUUGUGUUACUUGAUUCAUGCCAGAUUGUAAUUGAGUGUGGAGUUGGCAUUGCCGUUCUAGUGCGCUGCAACUGUUGUG